rnacentral:rRNA from 1 species
GCAAGUCGAACGCUGAAGCACCAGCUUGCUGGUGUGGAUGAGUGGCGAACGGGUGAGUAAUACGUGAGUAACCUGCCCUUGACUCUGGGAUAAGCCCGGGAAACUGGGUCUAAUACUGGAUGCUACAUGUCACCGCAUGGUGGUGUGUGGAAAGGGUUUACUGGUCUUGGAUGGGCUCACGGCCUAUCAGCUUGUUGGUGAGGUAAUGGCUCACCAAGGCGACGACGGGUAGCCGGCCUGAGAGGGUGACCGGCCACACUGGGACUGAGACACGGCCCAGACUCCUACGGGAGGCAGCAGUGGGGAAUAUUGCACAAUGGGCGAAAGCCUGAUGCAGCGACGCCGCGUGAGGGAUGACGGCCUUCGGGUUGUAAACCUCUUUCAGCAGGGAAGAAGCCACAAGUGACGGUACCUGCAGAAGAAGCGCCGGCUAACUACGUGCCAGCAGCCGCGGUAAUACGUAGGGCGCAAGCGUUGUCCGGAAUUAUUGGGCGUAAAGAGCUCGUAGGCGGUUUGUCGCGUCUGCUGUGAAAGCCCGGGGCUUAACCCCGGGUGUGCAGUGGGUACGGGCAGACUAGAGUGCAGUAGGGGAGACUGGAAUUCCUGGUGUAGCGGUGGAAUGCGCAGAUAUCAGGAGGAACACCGAUGGCGAAGGCAGGUCUCUGGGCUGUUACUGACGCUGAGGAGCGAAAGCAUGGGGAGCGAACAGGAUUAGAUACCCUGGUAGUCCAUGCCGUAAACGUUGGGCACUAGGUGUGGGGGACAUUCCACGUUUUCCGCGCCGUAGCUAACGCAUUAAGUGCCCCGCCUGGGGAGUACGGCCGCAAGGCUAAAACUCAAAGGAAUUGACGGGGGCCCGCACAAGCGGCGGAGCAUGCGGAUUAAUUCGAUGCAACGCGAAGAACCUUACCAAGGCUUGACAUAUACCGGAUCGUUCCAGAGAUGGUUCUUCCCCUUUGGGGUCGGUAUACAGGUGGUGCAUGGUUGUCGUCAGCUCGUGUCGUGAGAUGUUGGGUUAAGUCCCGCAACGAGCGCAACCCUCGUUCCAUGUUGCCA